CGGUGAAUACGUUCCCGGGCCUUGUACACACCGCCCGUCAAGCCAUGGAAGCUGGGUGUACCUAAAGUCGGUAACCGCAAGGAGCUGCCUAGGGUAAAACUAGUAACUGGGGCU
rnacentral:rRNA from 1 species